UACAGAGGUCUCAAGCGUUGUUCGGAUUCAUUGGGCGUAAAGGGUGCGUAGGCGGCGCGGUAAGUCGGGUGUGAAAUCUCGGAGCUUAACUCCGAAACUGCAUUCGAUACUGCCGUGCUGGAGUGUGGGAGAGGUGCGUGGAAUUCCUGGUGUAGCGGUGAAAUGCGUAGAUAUCAGGAGGAACACCUGUGGCGAAAGCGGCGCACUGGACCACAACUGACGCUGAGGCGCGAAAGCUAGGGGAGCAAACAGG
rnacentral:rRNA from 1 species